GGAAUCUUAGACAAUGGGGGAAACCCUGAUCUAGCCAUGCCGCGUGAUCGAUGAAGGCCUUAGGGUUGUAAAGAUCUUUCAGUGGGGAAGAUAAUGACGGUACCCACAGAAGAAGCCCCGGCUAACUCCGUGCCAGCAGCCGCGGUAAUACGGAGGGGGCUAGCGUUGUUCGGAAUUACUGGGCGUAAAGCGCACGUAGGCGGACCGGAAAGUCAGAGGUGAAAUCCCAGGGCUCAACCUUGGAACUGCCUUUGAAACUCCUGGUCUUGAGGUCGAGAGAGGUGAGUGGAAUUCCGAGUGUAGAGGUGAAAUUCGUAGAUAUUCGGAAGAACACCAGUGGCGAAGGCGACUGACUGGACAAGUAUUGACGCUGAGGUGCGAAAGCGUGGGGAGCAAAC
rnacentral:rRNA from 1 species